CGGGAGGCAGCAGUAGGGAAUCUUCCACAAUGGACGAAAGUCUGAUGGAGCAACGCCGCGUGAGUGAAGAAGGUUCUCGGAUCGUAAAACUCUGUUGUGAGGGAAGAACAAGUACCGGAGUAACUGCCGGUACCUUGACGGUACCUCAUUAGAAAGCCACGGCUAACUACGUGCCAGCAGCUGCGGUAAUACGUAGGUGGCAAGCGUUGUCCGGAAUCAUUGGGCGUAAAGCGCGCGCAGGCGGUCCCUUAAGUCUGAUGUGAAAGCCCACGGCUCAACCGUGGAGGGUCAUUGGAAACUGGGGGACUUGAGUGCAGAAGAGGAAAGCGGAAUUCCAAGUGUAGCGGUGAAAUGCGUAGAGAUUUGGAGGAACACCAGUGGCGAAGGCGGCUUUCUGGUCUGUAACUGACGCUGAGGCGCGAAAGCGUGGGGAGCAAACAGGAUUAGAUACCCUGGUAGUCCACGCCGUAAACGAUGAGUGCUAAGUGUUAGGGGGUUUCCGCCCCUUAGUGCUGCAGCUAACGCAUUAAGCACUCCGCCUGGGGAGUACGGUCGCAAGACUGAAACUCAAAGGAAUUGACGG
rnacentral:rRNA from 1 species